CCUCACACGCACACACCCCCCUGCGCACGCACACGUCUUUCCGGAAUUCCUUUUUUCUCAAGCGCUGCCUGGGGAUGGCUCGAAAAUGCAUAGCCCCUAACUUUAAAGGGUUGUCACUGAACCCCAACCGCCGUCUGUGUCCAACUCCCCAGCGUCAAGACUCGAUAUGGAAAGCUGUGAAAGCCUGUUUGCAGAUGAAGAGAGUGUUCUAAUGAAUGUCCCAAGAGACUAAUGGCACAUUUUCAUAUCAGAUUUACCCGAGUGUUUUACUCAAAAGGCUCAGACUUUUCUGCUUCCAUCUACGAGGCCUGGCACCCGUUUCUUAGUGGGCCAUGGCUCCGGCAGACCUGCUCUCCCUUGGGUCCAAAGCCAGGCCACUGGUACUUUUGAGCUGGCAUUUACACAACAAUGACUAACUGUGAACUUGAACACCUUCUGACAAAGCAACUGUGUAUACAACAUUUGCUAACAUCGUGUAGGCCUACCUAUAUGUUAGCACAUGUUGUACACAAAAACAAAGUUAAACAUCACACACAAUGUCUAAACCUAUUACAAUUGGAGCAGGCCAACCAUGCUGGAGGUCUGCUGGGUGUGCAGGGUUCUCUUUCAGCCAAGCAACAACACAUCCGAUGUAACUUAUCAAACCUAAUGAGUUGAUAAUCAAGUGUGCUAUUGCUGGGCUGGAACAGAAUCUCUGCUCACCCAGUAGAUCAGGAAUCUUGCUUACCUGAAAUUAUGCUUUAGUAAUAAUAGCCUACUUGUUACUACUCGAUGAUCUACUAUUGUUUAGACAUACAAGUUAGCUUAUUUGUAAAUGUUUUGUUGAUGGUGUUGAUUCUUUGAAGUGAAGUGUUUAAACUUGUUUUAAUUGUUAAACUGUUCAAAAUGAACUAGUGCCAAUGUUGCUGCCAUAAAGAGGGGAAGGGAUUCUGUC